CUGAAUGGAAAGAGAGUGGGUCAGACAAGGGACUCACUGCCUGCAGGCCCACUGCCCGAAGGCAGUGAGUAUGACUAUUUCCUGCGCACUCUGUUCAUAGUGCUCUCUGAGGACUACAGGCUCUCUUCCAGUCAGCAGACAGGGCCUGACUGCUAAACACUCACUGACAGCCAUCUUGCCUUCUCCUAAGCUCUUAAGUUUCUUAGUCUAGUUUUGCUUUGUUUUCUUCCAGAAUUUUGCAGCGUUCAGGAAAGAGUAAGACCAGAGAACAACAACAAAAAAGAGUAUCUGGAGAGAGAAGGUAAGAGAUGUUUUAUUAUAUUCUUUAUUAGAUCUUUUAAUACUCUUAGAAAUUAUCAAAUAAAAAUGUAAUUAAAUUCAGGAAACUAAGUCAAACUAAAUGAAAGACCUGUAGUUACAAGUAACAAUGUGGAUGAAUCACACAAGUGUAAUAUUGAAGAUGGAAUGUACAAGGGAGUUCAAUGUUACAUAUAUAUAUAUAUAUAUGCAUAAUUAAAAUGUUUAGGGCAGCAAACCAGUAGUCCACUGAAAAGAAAAUGAGUGAAAGAAAUAUUAUACAAAAAAGCUACAUUUGGUUGGUCUAGACUGCGAAGGGACUCACAGGUCUGAGGGCGACCUCUUCUUGCUGGAAGGAUUCUAUUUGCUAUCUUGCUUUGGUGUAGCAUGGAUGUUCUCCCUAUUCGUCAUUAAAUUAUAUAUUUUCAGCUUAUGUCAUUUUCAGGAUAGGUAUUACUAUUUCACGUAAAUGCUAAAAACUAGCAAUCAACAGCACAAAAAAAGUGGCAAAACUGGUAAGCACACAACUACAAGAAGGAGAGAGAGGAGAUCCCCAGUGGCCCUGAUGCACAAGAGCCACAGAGGACCACGCUGGGAGGAGGAGCCUCUUAAGAGGAAACUGAGCAGGCUCAGAAAGAGACCGUACUUGUCCUAGAAAGCAAGGACUGGAGUCUAGGUGCUCCAGAGAAGUACCUUUUCUCUCUGCUCCUCACUCAGUGGAUCGUAUCAACAGCUGUCUACCCUAGACAUUCCUGCUGUGGGUUCUGGUGUUUUAUGGCUGGGCUUCCAGUUUGCUCCUUUGAUUUGGGAUUGAAGUGAUCUCAAGACGGAAAGAUCUGAGGAACUUCUCUGGCUGGGUCAUGGACCACAUCUGGGUCCAGCUCUGGGCCGUGGGCCAUGGCUGUUAGAAGUUGUGAGACUGAGGGAUCAUCUGAUUUUCUCCAAUGCUUGUGUACCAACCUCUGUGACCCUGGGCAUACCCAGUAUCCAAGCAA